UACGUAGGGGGCAAGCGUUGUCCGGAAUCAUUGGGCGUAAAGAGCGUGUAGGCGGCCAGAUAAGUCCGCUGUGAAAUCUCGAGGCUCAACUUCGAGCUGUCGGUGGAAACUGUCUGGCUAGAGUCCGGAAGAGGAGAAUGGAAUCCUGGUGGUAGCGGUGAAAUGCGCAGAUAUCAGGAAGAACACCCGUGGCGAAAGCGGCGCACUGGACCAUAACUGACGCUGAGGCGCGAAAGCUAGGGGAGCAAACAGG
rnacentral:rRNA from 1 species